rnacentral:rRNA from 1 species
CACGUAGGGUGCGAGCGUUGUCCGGAAUUAUUGGGCGUAAAGAGCUCGUAGGCGGUGUGUCGCGUCGGCCGUGAAAACCUGCAGCUUAACUGUGGGCGUGCGGUCGAUACGGGCAUCACUGGAGUUCGGCAGGGGAGACUGGAAUUCCUGGUGUAGCGGUGAAAUGCGCAGAUAUCAGGAGGAACACUGGUGGCGAAGGCGGGUCUCUGGGCCGAUACUGACGCUGAGGAGCGAAAGCGUGGGGAGCGAACAGG